CAUAUAUAUAUUAAUAUAUUAUAUUCAAUAAGGCUAGAAUAUUUGUAAGUAAAUUAUUUAAGAAAGUUAAGGUUAAUUUGUUGCAGAACAUUAGAUAUAAUUUUGAUUCAAGGUUUUUUUUUUAUCUAACUUAAAUUUUUAUGUAUUACUAACAAUAGGAUCUGAUAGCAAUCUAUUAUUAGUGAUCAGAGGCUGUAAAUUUAAAAAAGUAACAUUUUGUAAAGUUGUAUAUUGACUCUUAUCACAACUUUGUUUAUUCAUAUUCAAUGUUAUUUUCUCCAUUAAGUUAUAAAUUUUUAUUUAUUAUGAAUUAUUAUUGAAGAUUAAUAUUUUACUGAUUAGGAAAACCUAAAAAAAUUUAGAGAAGAAGCAGAGAAAUUAGAGAAAUCUGAAGCUCUUCAAAAUGCAAGGAAAAAAUAUAAACUAAUAGAAAAAGAGACUUCUAAGAGUACUGAACAGAUUAAGGAACAAUUGGAAAGUCUUAAA